ACUUAAGUUCAACUCCAUCUUCCUCCAGCCAGCUGGCUCCAAUCAUUUUGAGGAGAAUGCUAUUUAUUACAUGUAUGUCAAAACCUUCAGCUCCUACCCAUUCUCCCUCACGAACAGGCCCAUCAGUAGCCCAGGUGGGCUUUGAAUUACUCCAGAAAAUAGGACAGAGUUUGGCUGCCUGAAGAACUUGAUACCAGUAGCCACAGCAGGAUUCCACUGAGGCAAUAGCAGAAUUGCUCCUAAAUGUGUGGAUGUGCCUCUACCCACACUCAGUCAACUUACAGAGAGAGAGGAAUUGGCACAAGUGUGCUGGCGCUUUCCCCCUACCUCUGUAUGGUCUGCAGCUUGUGAACAUGGCACCUACAUGAAGAGGUGCAAGUGCUCCCUCUCUUGACUCCAUCCAGGGAAGAUGCUUUCUGAAUGUUCUUUGUCACAGGAAUGGCUCCUACAGUGUGCCCUUCUUUCCUGUGCUGAUGCAUGGACUCUGGAGUUGGUGCGCAUAUGGAGAAGUGAGGCUGGCAUAUUGCAUGGAAGCCUAUUGAGUCAGACCAUUGAACUCCAUGUUGUCUAAUCUACCUAGCCAAAGGGUCUCCAAUGGGAGGCAGAGAAAGACCUUCCCCUACUUUUGCUUCCUGUGGUCUUUUAGCCAAAAAAGCUGGGGGCUGAACCUGGGACUGUCCAUCUGAAAAACUUUGUGCUAACCCUGAGUCACAGCCCUUGUUCAUUUGAUUAAACACAGACCAAUAUAUUGUGUACA